rnacentral:rRNA from 1 species
UUAUUUGAGAGUUUGAUCCUGGCUCAGGACGAACGCUGGCGGCGUGCCUAAUACAUGCAAGUUGAGCGCUGAAGGUUGGUACUUGUACCAACUGGAUGAGCAGCGAACGGGUGAGUAACGCGUGGGGAAUCUGCCUUUGAGCGGGGGACAACAUUUGGAAACGAAUGCUAAUACCGCAUAAAAACUUUAAACACAAGUUUUAAGUUUGAAAGAUGCAAUUGCAUCACUCAAAGAUGAUCCCGCGUUGUAUUAGCUAGUUGGUGAGGUAAAGGCUCACCAAGGCGAUGAUACAUAGCCGACCUGAGAGGGUGAUCGGCCACAUUGGGACUGAGACACGGCC